rnacentral:lncRNA from 1 species
AAUGAGAAGAGAAGCAGCUGGAGAAAGGAGCUCGGAGGAACGGCCCAGGGUGCGCGGCUCACCUCUUUUCAAGGGUGAUGCAACAGGGUCAGACCGAAGAAGGGAAGGAGCCGGGAAGGAGCAAACCAGUGUCCGGCUGGAAACGGGAGGGAUGCACGGGCGGCAGGGGAAGGGGCCUAGGAGAGGAGGGCGGGCGAGGGCAGCGGGUCCCAAGCGGGGCGGCACGAGGGACCCGGGGGGGACAGGCAGGAAGGGUGGGCGCCGCCGGGCCUCCGAGGACAGACACUCAAGGAGGACGGGGUGACCUGGCCCGAGACCACCCCAAGCAGAGAAGAUUCGACAUCUGAUAUCAGCUAUGGAAAACAAAAACAACCUCGUGCUCAAGGCAUCUUCGCUGAAUGAGUCAACAAGCCUGGUAAAUGAUACGCUUUUGUUGGAUGAAAAAACUCAUGCUCUACAAAAAUAUGGCCAUAGCAGAGUCCAUAUUCUCAACAACAGUAUUAAUGUGUUUAUCUUUCCUUGAAGUGUCGACAAUGCAAGACAUGUAAAGACAAAAUGCCUCUGGAGCCAAUCCAUACUUUUUUAUACUUUUUGUGUCUAUGGUGCUGGGGAUCAAAACAGAGCCUCCUGCUUGCUGGGAAACCAUCCCACCACUAAGCUACAGCCUCGGCACAUUUUAUUUGGAGACAAUUCUAGAUUAACA